rnacentral:piRNA from 1 species
UGUGAAUAAGGUAGAAAGGUCACAGGUAUC